rnacentral:rRNA from 1 species
UACGGGGGGAGCAAGCGUUGUUCGGAUUUACUGGGCGUAAAGGGCGCGUAGGCGGCCACUGCAAGUCAGUUGUGAAAUCUCCGGGCUUAACCCGGAAAGGUCAACUGAUACUGCAGGGCUAGAGUGCAGAAGGGGCAACUGGAAUUCUCGGUGUAGCGGUGAAAUGUGUAGAUAUCGAGAGGAACACCUGCGGCGAAGGCGGGUUGCUGGGCUGACACUGACGCUGACAGCGCGAAAGCUAGGGGAGCGAACGGG